UACGGAGGAUGCAAGCGUUAUCCGGAUUCAUUGGGUUUAAAGGGUGCGCAGGCGGAGUGAUAAGUCAGUGGUGAAAUCCUACGGCUCAACUGUAGAACUGCCAUUGAUACUGUCAUUCUUGAGUACUGUUGAGGUGGGCGGAAUGUGUCAUGUAGCGGUGAAAUGCUUAGAUAUGACACAGAACACCGAUCGCGAAGGCAGCUCACCAAGCAGAAACUGACGCUCAUGCACGAAAGCGUGGGGAUCAAAC
rnacentral:rRNA from 1 species